AGUGGAUGGGGAGCAACCUAGUUGUGCGUGUGUAAAGGUAGUGCCAAGAAAAGCGGUGAUCAUGAUGAAAAUCAAUUCCCGGUACCCGAAACCGACACAGGUGGGCAAGUAGAGAAUACUAAGGGGCGCGAGGUAACUCUCUCCAUGAACUCGGCAAAAUGACCCCGUAACUUAGGGAGAAGGGGUGCCACCGAGAGGUGGUCGCAGUGAAGAGGCCCAGGCGACUGUUUAGCAAAAACAUAGGUCUCUGCAAACUCGAAAGAGGAGGUAUAGGGGCUGACGCCUGCCCAGUGCCGGAAGGUUAAAGAAGUUGGUCAGUCUUAGGAUGAAGCUAGCGACUGAAGCCCCGGUGAACGGCGGCCGUAACUAUAACGGUCCUAAGGUAGCGAAAUUCCUUGUCGGGUAAGUUCCGACCCGCACGAAAGGCGUAACGGUCUGGGCGCUGUCUCGGAGAGAGGCUCGGCGAAAUAGGAUUGUCUGUGAAGAUACGGACUACCUGCAUUUGGACAGAAAGACCCUAUGAAGCUUUACUAUAGCUUGGAAUUGUGUUCGGGCUUCCUGUGCGCAGGAUAGGUGGGAGGCGUAGAAGGUAUUCUUGUGGGGAUACUGGAGCCAACGGUGAGAUACCACUCUCAGGAGGCUAGAAUUCUAACUUAAUUAAGGACAGUUUCAGGUGGGUAGUUUGACUGGGGCGGUCGCCUCCAAAAAGGUAACGGAGGCGUACAAAGGUUCCCUCAGACUGGUUGGAAAUCAGUCGAAGAGUGCAAAGGCAGAAGGGAGCUUGACUGCGAGAAGUACAGUUCGAGCAGGGUGGAAACACGGUCUUAGUGAUCCGACGGUCUGUGUGGAAGGGCCGUCGCUCAACGGAUAAAAGUUACUCUAGGAUAACAGGCUGAUCUCCCCCAAGAGUUCACAUCGACGGGGAGGUUUGGCACCUCGAUGUCGGCUCAUCGCAACCUGGGGCGGAAGUACGUCCCAAGGGUUGGGCUGUUCGCCCAUUAAAGCGGUACGUGAGCUGGGUUCAGAACGUCGUGAGACAGUUCGGUCCAUAUCCGAUGUAGGCGUGAGAAUAUUGAGAGGAGCCUUCCUUAGUACGAGAGGACCGGGAAGGACGCACCGCUGGUGUACCUGUUAUGAUGCCAAUUGUAAACGCAGGGUAGCCAAGUGCGGAGAGGAUAACCGCUGAAAGCAUCUAAGUGGGAAGCCCACCUCAAGAUGAGUAUUCUGGUGUAAGGUCACGGGAAGACGACCCGUAAAUAGGCACGAGGUGGAAGUGCAGAGAUGUAUGAAGCCGAAGUGUACUAAUAGACCGUCGGCUUGAC
rnacentral:rRNA from 1 species